rnacentral:rRNA from 1 species
CACGGGGGUUGCGAGCGUUGUCCGGAAUUACUGGGCGUAAAGCGCACGCAGGCGGAAUUGUAAGUCCGUUGUAAAAUUCAGAGGCUCAACCUCUGUCUGUCGGCGGAUACUGCAAAUCUAGAGUAUGUGAGAGGGAAGUGGAAUUCCUGGUGUAGCGGUGAAAUGCGUAGAUAUCAGGAGGAACUCCGGUGGCGAAGGCGACUUCCUGGCACAAGACUGACGCUCAUGUGCGAAAGCUAGGGUAGCGAACGGGAUUAGAUACCCU